CAGCAGCCCACAUGUAACCGAACUGUCGUGUUUCAUGGCUUUUUGCCACUCCAGCUGUCAAUCAAAGCCCGGAAUGUCAAGAAGAACUCCAAGAUUAAAAGCAUCCUUCUUAUUUGUUGCUGAGUUGUUCGUCGACGUAUAAGAAAAGGAUUCCCUCCAAGACUGAUAGGAAAGACAGGGCCACUUCUGGACUAUCUGUGAGGAUGUGUUUCUUUCUGUAACACUGAAGCACUUUUUAUAAACCUUUUAAUGUAUUUAAAUAAAUCUAUUUGGACAUUAAGAGAAGCCAUACAUACAAAGAUAGUUUGGCUUUAUGCCGGCAAUCCCAACAUUAGAAAAAAAAAAUUCACAAUCCAACUGAGAAGCUUUUCCGUGCCCAACCUUGGUCAAAAAAAAAAAAAAAAGAAGGAAAGCAAAAGAAAGUUUCCUGCGUGCAUCUGCAUGUCUUCGUGUGCACGAUUAUAAACAUCUCCCAGUCCUUGUUUGCCCGUUACCUCCCUCCUGCCAUACACUCGAAGGCAGAGGCGUCGAGGGAUGGCCCCCAGAGAUCUGUGUUUACUCAGGUUUUCUUAAAAAAAUCUCUCCGCCAUGUAUGACAAGUGUUACUUCAAGAAAUUCAUCAGCCUUCUAUAGAUACUUCCAGUUUUACUGUAAUGAUCUGCAGAAGACAACUGCCAUCACUUUCUCACAUCCCAAGGUGUUGCAGGAACUCACAGAAAGGGGAGAGUGGCUGAAACGCUUAAUUACAGUGGCGGAGGUGGGGCGCGAGGCGGGACCGAGGGAGGGAGAGUGAGGAAGGUCUUUACCUGGCCAGUAUGUAGAAAGCUGCGAAUCCUCACGGCGAAUAUUUGGGAAA